GUCUACAGCCAUACCACCCUGAAAGCGCCCGAUCUCGCCUGAUAUCAAAAGCUAAGCAGGGUAGUGCCUAGUUAGUACUUGGAUAGAAGAAAAUGUCCUAGAGAGUGGAUU
rnacentral:rRNA from 1 species